rnacentral:rRNA from 1 species
UCGAACGCUGGCGGCGUGGCUAAAACAUGCAAGUCGCACGGAAAGGUCCGUCUAGUUUACUAGUUGGACACUCGAGUGGCGAAAGGGCGAGGAAUACAUGGGUAACGUACCCUGGACUUGAGGACAGCCCGGAGAAAUCCGGGUUAAUACUCGAUAAGACCACAGUGCCGCAGGGCACAGCGGUCAAAGGCGGGGAUCCCUUCGGGGACCUGUCGGUCUGGGAGCGGCCCAUGCCCUAUCAGCUAGUUGGCGAGGUAACGGCUCACCAAGGCAUCGACGGGUACCGGGACUGAGAGGUUGACCCGGCGCAUCGGGACUGAGACACUGCCCGGACUCCUACGGGAGGCUGCAGUAACGAAUAUUCCGCAAUGGACGAAAGUCUGACGGAGCGACGCCGCGUGCAGGAUGAAGCCCCUCGGGGUGUAAACUGCUGUCAGGGACCACCAAGCAAUGCAAUGAGGGCUAAUAUCCCUCGGCGUUGAGGAUUCCCAAAGGAAGCCACGGCUAACUUCGUGCCAGCAGCCGCGGUAAGACGAAGGUGGCAAGCGUUGUUCGGAAUCACUGGGCUUAAAGGGUAUGUAGGCGGUCCGUCAAGCGUUUAGUGAAAGCCCUCGGCUCAACCGAGGAAUUGCUGGGCGAACUGGCGGACUUGAGGCAGGUAGGGGCGCGUGGAACUCUUGGUGGAGCGGUGGAAUGCGUAGAUAUCAAGAGGAACGCCGGUGGCGAAAGCGGCGCGCUGGGCCUGUCCUGACGCUGAAAUACGAAAGCCAGGGGAGCAAACGGGAUUAGAUACCCCGGUAGUCCUGGCCCUAAACGAU